AAAUCGUGUUAAAUCUCAUGCUCAUUUACUGGAUCGUACUGUCUGAAAACGGUAUGAAACUGUUUGCCUAUUAUAAUAAUACUCUUUGCAAUAAUCUUCUUGGAUAUUACUCCUUUGUGUUUCUACCACAUUUCCUUGGAAUUUCAAUGGUAAUGUCUGCUAAAUUUGCCAUUUUUUCUGCCUUCGUGAAUAUUAUAUCAUAAUCCUUUUCAUUCGAACUUGCAGAUUUUACAGCUUCUUUCUCCAGUUCUACAAUGUUAUUAGCUUGGGGAUCUUAUUAAUUAGAUCCCUAGCUAGGGGAUUUUAUUAGUUCUGAAUGACAGGGAAGUUUUACAACAGAUUUACAAGAUGAAUGUUUUUAACAAAAAGAUUAAACUUUUAAUGGUAAGUACAUGUUCCCUACAGCUAAUACAAUUUAUGUAAAUUUUAGAUCCAAACAUAAAACAGGUAGAGAAAAUCUAUUCGCUAUUUUUAACACUAGAUCAAAAGUUUUCGUUUUAUUCACACUCAUAGAGUCUAGCCUUUGCGCAAGCACUGAUAUAACCCUAAGGCUUAUAUAACCCUAGAGUUACUCGAGUCAGUUCAAUCAAACGCAUCCCAUGGCAUCUAAACAUAUGAGUAGAGCUUCGUACAUGUCCUCAAAAUCUUGCAAUUUUGUUAUUGUCUCUACCCAUCGGGUUUCACAGAAAUUGUUGAUAUUGUAAUGAUGUGUUCCUUGGGCUUUCCUUCGUUCACGGUGGCCACAGCUUGCUCGAGACGCCUGGAGAGUAACGAAAAAGUUGCUUCAUUGAAUCUAACAUAAAAUAUAAUUCUCGCACCUAGCAACUCUUGCAGAGGACCAGAUUUAAUUGCCUUUGGAGACUUUUCUUGGGAAUUCGUAGUGAAACCAUUGUAUUUUCCGGUCCUAUCUGUGGUUUGCGAAUGGCAGCAACGUACAGCAAUUAAUCGUCGCAGAAUAAAGUGACUAAAUGACAUUGUCACAUUUUACCGCUCCACUUGUGCCUACACAUUGUUAAAAUUAAAAUAACCGUUGUUCCGUGUAUAGCGCAUGACGUGCAUCUUUUGAUUAAUUCAAGAUUCCUUAAAGAUGCAAAGAAACGACGACUUUGGGUGAAACCACUGAAUUGGGAAGAUUUUGUUCCCACUGACCACUCUUGUGUGUGUUUUUUGGUUGGCACAGUGAUGAUCCAGCGGAUGAGUAUUAUAUUCCCAACACAAGGAGAAACCAGUAAAUGCUGAAAGGGAGAACAGAGCAGCCAAAAGAAAUAUUCAAAAGGUACAUGAAUUAGAAUUCUACCACUAUUUAAUUCAGUUUUUAAAAUUAAGGUUAGGCAAUAGACAAAAUAAAACAUCAUGAAAAUUUAUUAGAAUAUUAUGGUAUCAUACGUAAUGAAAAAUUCAUAGGUAUUUUAAUUGAAGAUGUAACAUUGUUUUUUAAGAAUUGUAGAACUUCAGAGUAGCAAAGUAUAAGCAGAAGGAGCAAGAGAAGAGACAGUUGAGUUUUUCUACCUUUAUUCACUUAUCCUACACCAAGAGCAGAGACGAGGAACCCAGCAGUGAUACAGAUGGAUUGAAGAUUGAACCAGAUGAUGUUGACAUUGGGGUCAGACAUACAAGAGAUGCAGGUGUACAGUGUGAUCCAGACCCACUCUUUCUGGAAAGCAUGGCUUUAAAAUCCGAGAUAAGAAGUUCUCUGCCGACAAAAUGAGACCCUUCAUGGUAGUCUCCAUCGGAUCUUCCAGUGUUCUAACUUCCUCUUCCCUUACAACAUCAGGAGUGUCAUCGGGGAUGGUCCACAAGUGACUCAUGCCUAGAAUUGAUAUUGU